UACAGAGGUGCCAAGCGUUAGGCGGAAUCACUGGGCUUAAAGCGUGUGUAGGCGGGUCGUUAAGUGCCUUGUGAAAUCCCACGGCUCAACCGUGGAACUGCUGGGCAUACUGCCGAUCUUGAGCCAGCUAGGGGCAACCGGAACAAACGGUGGAGCGGUGAAAUGCGUAGAUAUCGCUUGGAACGCCAAUGGUGAAAACAGGUUGCUGGGGCUGUGCUGACGCUGAGACACGAAAGCCAGGGGAGCGAACGGG
rnacentral:rRNA from 1 species